UACGUAGGGGGCCAGCGUUGUCCGAAGUUACUGGGCGUAAAGCGCGUGUAGGCGGGCCUCUAAGUGGGUGGUGAAAGGUGCGGGCUCAACCGGCACACUGCCGCUCAUACUGGGGGCCUUGAGUGCGGGAGGGGCGGGCGGAAUUCUUGGUGUAGCGGUGAAAUGCGUAGAUAUCAAGAGGAACACCCGUGGCGAAGGCGGCCCGCUGGCCCGCAACUGACGCUGAGACGCGAAAGCCGGGGGAGCGAACAGG
rnacentral:rRNA from 1 species